rnacentral:rRNA from 1 species
GAUGAACGCUAGCGGCAGGCCUAAUACAUGCAAGUCGAACGGUCCACUUCGGUGGAUAGUGGCGCACGGGUGCGUAACACGUAUGCAACCUACCUUACAUUGGGGGAUAGCCUUUCGAAAGGGAGAUUAAUACCGCAUAAGACAGUAACAUGGCAUCAUGUAGCUGUUAAAGAUUUAUCGAUGUAAGCUGGGCAUGCGUCCAAUUAGUUAGUUGGUGAGGUAAUGGCUCACCAAGACGAUGAUUGGUAGGGGAACUGAGAGGUCAAUCCCCCACACUGGCACUGAGAUACGGGCCAGGCUCCUACGGGAGGCAGCAGUAGGGAAUAUUGGGCAAUGGACGCAAGUCUGACCCAGCCAUGCCGCGUGCAGGAAGAAGGCGUUCUGCGUUGUAAACUGCUUUUAUAUAGGAAGAAACGACCCUUGCGAGGGGCAUUGACGGUAUUAUAUGAAUAAGCACCGGCUAACUCCGUGCCAGCCGCCGCGGUAAAAC